GGUAUCCUGUGUUGCUUACCCGCGGAAAGGAAUUCGACGGUUAUGGUUUCCCCAUUCGCCUUGCGCCCUUCGAGGUGCGGGGUGGACCCGAGGCGGGCUCCGUGUUCCCCGCGUGCCGAGUGCGUUGACGCUCGGUCGCUGUGGCCCAUGGGGCUCGGCCCGUGCUCUCGGAUGCGGAAUGCUGUGUGCGGGCGUGGGGUCUCGGCCUCUGUUCGUCCCGGCUGCACGCAUUGUCCCUUGACGUGAACGACCGUCGCGCCCGUCUUGAUCGGCCGACCGAGCCCCCGUCGCGGGGUUCCGGGAGGGCGGCUCAUGCGGGUGUC
rnacentral:misc_RNA from 1 species